UGAGGAAUAUUGGUCAGUGGGCGCGAGCCUGAACCAGCCAAGUAGCGUGAAGGAUGAAGGUCCUAUGGAUUGUAAACUUCUUUUAUAGCAGAAUAAAGUGACCCACGUGUGGGUUUUUGUAUGUAUGCUAUGAAUAAGGAUCGGCUAACUCCGUGCCAGCAGCCGCGGUAAUACGGAGGAUCCGAGCGUUAUCCGGAUUUAUUGGGUUUAAAGGGUGCGUAGGCGGAAAGAUAAGUCAGCCUGUGAAAGUUUGCGGCUCAACCGUAAAAUUGCAGUUGAUACUGUUUUUCUUGAGUGUACAUAAGGUAGGCGGAAUUCGUGGUGUAGCGGUGAAAUGCUUAGAGAUCACGAAGAACUCCGAUUUCGAAGGCAGCUUACCGGGGUACAACUGACGCUGAUGCACGAAAGUGUGGGUAUCAAACA
rnacentral:rRNA from 1 species